rnacentral:rRNA from 1 species
UACGAAGGGGGCGAGCGUUGUUCGGAAUUACUGGGCGUAAAGGGCGCGCAGGCGGCUCUGAAAGUCAGAUGUGAAAGCCCCGGGCUUAACCUGGGAACUGCAUUUGAUACUCUGGAGCUUGAGUACGGGAGAGGAUAGUGGAAUUCCCAGUGUAGAGGUGAAAUUCGUAGAUAUCAGGAGGAACACCUGCGGUGUAGACGGCUUUCUGGACCAUUGUUGACGCUGAGACACGAAAGCGUGGGUAGCAAACAGG